rnacentral:rRNA from 1 species
GGGCCUACGGGAGGCAGCAGUGGGGGAUAUUGCACAAUGGGGGGAACCCUGAUGCAGCGACGCCGCGUGGGUGAAGGAGCGUUUCGGCGCGUAAAGCCCUAUCGGCAGGGAAGAAAAUGACGGUACCUGACUAAGAAGCCCCGGCUAACUACGUGCCAGCAGCCGCGGUAAUACGUAGGGGGCAAGCGUUAUCCGGAUUUACUGGGUGUAAAGGGGGCGCAGACGGCGAUGCAAGCCAGGAGUGAAAGCCCGGGGCCCAACCCCGGGCCUGCUCUUGGAACUGCG